GCCAGUGUGGUUUAGUGUUUUGAGCACUGGACUAUUACUCUGGAGAUCAGGGUUUGAAUCCCCACUUAUC
rnacentral:tRNA from 1 species